UCGGGGAUCGUCUAGCGGUAGGACGACUGGUUUUGGUUCAGUUAACCGGGGUUCGAUUCCCUGUCCCCGAACCA
rnacentral:tRNA from 1 species